rnacentral:tRNA from 1 species
GGGCGGGUAGCUCAGCGGGAGAGCGCUUGCUUCACACGCAAGAGGCCGUGGGUUCGAAACCCACUCCGCCCA